GACGAACGCUGGCGGCGUGCUUAAUACAUGCAAGUCGAACGGAAAGGCCCUGCUUUUGUGGCUUGCUCGAGUGGCGAACGGGUGAGUAACACGCGAGUAACCUGCCCUUGUCUUUGGGAUAACUUCAGGAAACUGGGGCUAAUACCGGAUAGGAGCUCUUGCUGCAUGGUGGGGGUUGGAAAGUUUCGGCGGUUGGGGAUGGUCUCGCGGCUUAUCAGCUUGUUGGUCGGGUAGUGGCUUACCACGGCUUUGACGGAUAGCCGGCCUGAGAGGGGGACCGGCGUCAAGGCGCCUACGAGACGCCGCAGACGGGUACGGGCGGCAGAGGUGGAAAAUCUGACACAACGGGCGCGAGCGAGAGGCAGCGGCGCCGGGUGCGGAAUACCGGCCUACGAGGUGUAAACCGCUUUCGCCUGAGAUGAGGCGGGCGUGACGGUAAUGAGUAAGAAAGCACCGGCUAACUACGUG
rnacentral:rRNA from 1 species